CCUACGGGGAGCAGCAGUGAGGAAUAUUGGUCAAUGGACGAGAGUCUGAACCAGCCAAGUAGCGUGAAGGAUGACUGCCCUAUGGGUUGUAAACUUCUUUUAUAUGGGAAUAAAAUGUUCCACGUGUGGGAUUUUGUAUGUACCAUCUGAAUAAGGAUCGGCUAACUCCGUGCCAGCAGCCGCGGUAAUACGGAGGCUCCGAGCGUUAUCCGGCUUUAUUGGGUUUAAAGGGAGCGUAGGUGGAUUGUUAAGUCAGUUGUGAAAGUUUGCGGCUCAACCGUAAAAUUGCAGUUGAAACUGGCAGUCGUGAGUACAGUAGAGGUGGGCGGAAUUCGUGGUGGAGCGGUGAAAUGCUUAGAUAUCACGAAGAACUCCGAUUGCGAAGGCAGCUCACUGGACUGCAACUGACACUGAGGCUCGAAAGUGUGGGUAUCAAACAGGAUUAGAUACCCGAGUAGUC
rnacentral:rRNA from 1 species